UAUUCUCCAUGCCCCAGGAGCAAGAAACCCUAGGGUUUCUUGCCGCCAGGUCCAUAGAAGGCAGGAAAAGCAGGGGAGGCGCUAGGGUUUUGAGCCCCUCCCCCUUUGUGCCGCCAACCAUAUUGCCUCUCCCUCUCUUGCAGCCGCCCAAACAUCAGGUCCAGGACUUGGAAUCUCUUGCUACAAGGUUGGUACAAGUUUCUCUCAGAUCUAGAGUUGAUCUGAGGUUGUUUGAGGUGCGGGUG
rnacentral:lncRNA from 1 species